UACGAAGGGGGCUAGCGUUGUUCGGAAUUACUGGGCGUAAAGGGCGCGUAGGCGGCCCUGUCAGUCAAGCGUGAAAGCCCCGGGCUCAACCUGGGAAUUGCGCCUGAUACUGCAGGGCUUGAGGGUCGGAGAGGAAGGUGGAAUUCCCAGUGUAGAGGUGAAAUUCGUAGAUAUUGGGAAGAACACCGGUGGCGAAGGCGGCCAUCUGGACGACAUCUGACGCUGAGGAGCGAAAGCGUGGGGAGCAAACAGG
rnacentral:rRNA from 1 species